AUGUUCUUACAUCUGACGGUACUUUCCUAUCAGUCGAUAGUCAAGGCACCCUUGGCACUCCGUCUUUUCAUGUUUCUUCAAUUGCUCAACUUUACUACACUCGGUUGUCCGUGUGUUGUGAUUCUUCUGAUGAGCCAUCUCCCUCGACUACAGUCUUCUUCUGUUGGCAACACACCACCUCCAGCUCAGCCUACUUAUGGCUUCCGAGCUAGCCCGCUUCUGCCUAUUGACCACUAUGGUUAUUGUAUAGCUCUUUCCGAGACGACUUCUUAUCCCGUAUGGCAACAUGUGAUGGCAUCGAAGAAUGAUGUUCUUGCCCACAACGGCACGUGGAAUCUCAUUUCCCUUCCUCAUCAUGCUCGUUUCAUCACUUAUAAGUGGAUCUACAAGGGUAAGACUAAUGGUUCUCUUGAGCAUUACAAAGCUCGUCUAGUGUUGAGAACAUGGUCAUGA
rnacentral:rRNA from 1 species